GUGAAUGCAGUGAGCAGCGAACAGGGAGCGCCAACAGGGGAGUUUGCCUGGGAAACAUUCGAGAGGAGCUCAGAUUACUGAGGUUCAAAUCAUGCAGUCAGACAUGCCAGAAAAGACAACAAUGCUGACUGAGUUAAACCUCCUGUAUAACACAAAUCCACCAUGCAUAGCCAUUUCCAAACUGUGAGCUAUGAGGAACUGGAUAGUGGUCUUCAGAGAGCUCAAUCACAUGGUGCUGACCUUCUCAAUUCCCCGUUGCCCCCACCUGACAUAGCUGGAAGCAAAGAGGAACCAGUUAAAUGCAAAGACAGGAAAAACAGGAGCUACCAUCACAAACUAAUAUAGCAGCGGCUGUAGCUGUUAUCCCCUCAUUGUGAGAGGAAUGUUCCAAAGAAUAAAGGAGAAGGAAAUGAGGCAGAUGGGAAUCAUGGCCAAGGAAGAAGGAACCAAGGACCAAGGAAGUGGGUAGAAAGAGGAGUACCAUUCAAAAACCAAAGGAUGUAAAAGGAAAAAGUAGAAGAGAACUUAUAGGAGAAAAGUAGCAGGGGGAGAGACAGGACAAUGUGAAAGGAAAAGGAAAAGAAGACACUGUGAUUAACUUUUUUUCUAAAAGGAUCUAACACUUGUAUCUCUGAAGACAAUGCAAGUACAUUCGCACUUACCAGUUACCACUCUGCAUGGUCAGUGCCUGCUUUAUCUUCCCCAAAGAUGUUAUGUGUAUUUGUAAAUGGGAAUAGAAGUGCUCUAUAAGUCUACAUCUAGACAGUGGGUCUAUUUCAGGAUACUGGAAGUAUCCCAAAAUAGCAAUUCCGUGUCUUUAAAUGUGCCCUUUAUUUCAAAAUAUAUUUUGCAUAGAGCAAAUUGCAUAGCUUACUUUGAGAUUUGAGUGCUGUGUAGAUGCGCCCUAUGAGAAGAAGACUGACUCUGAUUUUCUUUAGAGGGUGUAAAUCCACAGUAAUGCCACUGUAAAACAAGUGUCCAUGAAAGACAGACAAGGGAAAAUCUAUUAAGGAGCAAUCACCCUAUAAAAAAUGUUGAGAACUUACACCUAGUACACAUGUGUUGUUAAAUAGUAUUUUGGUAGACUUUCACAUUCUACAAAUACUUAUUUGGGAAUGUAUACCCAGACCCUUGACAUUUUAAAAUUACAUUUUUAAGAAGGAAAAUCCAUAGGCUAGCUAUUGCUCUAACAGGAAAAUAACGUAAUGUAUAACAUUUCACCUACAUACUACAAAAGUGAUUCUUCAAUAUUUUUUGUAAAAAAAAAUGAAAGACUAAUAAAACUUCCAGUUUUCAAAUAAUCCAGCACACUUGUCAAAAUACUCUCUGACUUCCAGACCUCCCACUUUGAUAUAAUUAACUUGAAUGAGCUUCUCUUCAUCAUGAAGACAAAGGUGGGAAAAGUGAUGUAACUGUAAUCCAUCUAGCACAGGUUUUGUACAACCUCUUUCUUAUAACUGACUUCACUCACUGAUUAAUAGACACUUUCCACUUCAGACCUUAAUUAAAAACUAUAAAAGCAGUCAGCUGUAGGCCAUGAAUGUGCUGGUGACAAAAAAAAGUGCCAUUUUAUUGUAAGAAGAUCAAGCACUGUACAAAUUUAGUGUGAAACCAUGUUAAGUAUGUCCAUAUGCCUGAAUUAAGUGCAAUUCUGAGAUUUACUUGGUUUCAAUGGGAAUACUAAGAAUAAAAUAUCCAUUAAAAUCAGAUAAAAUGGACUUUAAUUCAGAGGACAUCUAAGGUACGUCUACACAGCAGCGUUAUUUCAGAAUAACUUCACUUAUUCCAAAAUAAUG